GACUGACCACUGAUGGAUCUGGCUUUACAGUUUUCUUCGACUGCUAGACGACAGCGGGCACAACUGGAGUAACGUGCUAAACUGUAACUCCAGUCUGCACAGCAGCAG